CCGACGGGUGGCAGCAGUAGGGAAUAUUUCUCAAUUUUCUAAACCCUUAAUCAUCAACUCCUCUUUUAUUAUUCCUUUUUUCUUCUUUUACCAUCCUUUUGUUAGAGAAGAUAAUGACGGUAUCUAACGAAUAAGCACCGGCUAACUCCGUGCCAGCAGCCGCGGUAAUACGGAGGGUGCAAGCGUUACUCGGAAUCACUGGGCGUAAAGAGCGCGUAGGCGGGAUAGCAAGUCAGAUGUGAAAUCCUAUGGCUUAACCAUAGAACUGCAUUUGAAACUGUUAUUCUAGAGUAUGGGAGAGGUAGGUGGAAUUCUUGGUGUAGGGGUAAAAUCCGUAGAGAUCAAGAGGAAUACUCAUUGCGAAGGCGACCUGCUAGAACGUAACUGACGCUGAUGCGCGAAAGCGUGGGGAGCAAACAGGAUUAGAUACCCGUGUAGUC
rnacentral:rRNA from 1 species